rnacentral:rRNA from 1 species
AUUCCAGCUCCAAUAGCGUAUAUUAAUGUUGUUGCAGUUAAAAAGCUCGUAGUUGGAUUCCUGGCUCGGGGUAGCCGGUCCGCCUUGCAAAAGGUGCGCACUGUGCGGCCUCGGCCAUCCUUUAGAAAAGCGGUUCUGGCAUUCAGUUGUCGGGGUCGGGCUUCUAAACGUUUACUGUGAAAAAAUCAGAGUGUUCAACGCAGGCUUACGCCUUGAAUACAUUAGCAUGGAAUAAUGAGAUAGGACUUUGGCGGUCUAUUUUGUUGGUUUGCACGCCGAAGUAAUGAUUAACAGGGACGGUUGGGGUUCUUUGUAUUCAAUUGUCAGAGGUGAAAUUCUUGGACCGUUUGAAGACAAACUACUGCGAAAGCAUUUGCCAAGAAUGUUUUCAUCA